rnacentral:rRNA from 1 species
AACGAACGCUGGCGGCGUGCCUAACACAUGCAAGUCGAACGAAUGUAGCAAUACAUUAGUGGCGCACGGGUGAGUAACACGUGGGAAUCUGCCUCAUAGUUCGGAAUAACACCGGGAAACUGGUGCUAAUACCGGAUACGCCCUUCGGGGGAAAGUUUUUCGCUAUGAGAUGAGCCCGCGUUGGAUUAGCUAGUUGGUGAGGUAAUGGCUCACCAAGGCGACGAUCCAUAGCUGAUCUUAGAGGAUAAUCAGCCACACUGGGACUGAGACACGGCCCAGACUCCUACGGGAGGCAGCAGUGGGGAAUAUUGGACAAUGGGGGAAACCCUGAUCCAGCAACGCCGCGUGGAUGAUGAAGGUCUUCGGAUUGUAAAGUCCUUUUGGCGGGGACGAUGAUGACGGUACCCGCAGAAUAAGCUCCGGCUAACUUCGUGCCAGCCGCCGCAGUAA